rnacentral:rRNA from 1 species
GUCGACGCUGAAGCUCCAGCUUGCUGGGGUGGAUGAGUGGCGAACGGGUGAGUUUUACGUGAGUAACCUGCCCUUGACUCUGGGAUAAGCCUGGGAAACCGGGUCUAAUACUGGAUACGACUCCUCAUCGCAUGGUGGGGUGUGGAAAGGGUUUUACUGGUUUUGGAUGGGCUCACGGCCUAUCAGCUUGUUGGUGGGGUAAUGGCCUACCAAGGCGACGACGGGUAGCCGGCCUGAGAGGGUGACCGGCCACACUGGGACUGAGACACGGCCCAGACUCCUACGGGAGGCAGCAGUGGGGAAUAUUGCACAAUGGGCGCAAGCCUGAUGCAGCGACGCCGCGUGAGGGAUGACGGCCUUCGGGUUGUAAACCUCUUUCAGCAGGGAAGAAGCCACAAGUGACGGUACCUGCAGAAGAAGCGCCGGCUAACUACGUGCCAGCAGCCGCGGUAAUACGUAGGGCGCAAGCGUUGUCCGGAAUUAUUGGGCGUAAAGAGCUCGUAGGCGGUUUGUCGCGUCUGCUGUGAAAGCCCGGGGCUCAACCCCGGGUCUGCAGUGGGUACGGGCAGACUAGAGUGCAGUAGGGGAGACUGGAAUUCCUGGUGUAGCGGUGAAAUGCGCAGAUAUCAGGAGGAACACCGAUGGCGAAGGCAGGUCUCUGGGCUGUUACUGACGCUGAGGAGCGAAAGCAUGGGGAGCGAACAGGAUUAGAUA